rnacentral:rRNA from 1 species
AAUCAACGCUGGCGGCGUGCCUAACACAUGCAAGUCGAACGCGAAAGUUCCUUCGGGGAUGAGUAGAGUGGCGUCCGGGUGAGUAACGCGUGGGUAAUCUACCCUUGGGUGGGGAAUAACCAGUCGAAAGGCUGGCUAAUACCGCAUAAUGCAGCGGCUCGACAUCGAGACAGUUGUUAAAGCGCAAUCGCAAGGUUGCGCGCCUAAGGAGGAGCCUGCGUCUGANAGCUUGUUGGUUGAGGUAAUGGCUCACCAAGGCUGCGAUCAGUAGCUGGUCUGAGAGGACGGCCAGCCACAAUGGCACUG